AGAGUUUGAUCCUGGCUCAGGACGAACGCUGGCGGCGUGCCUAAUGCAUGCAAGUCGAACGCAGCAGCUUCGGCUGGCUGCGUGGCGAACGGCUGAGGAACACGUGGGUAACCUGCCCCGGAGUGGGGGAUACCCCGUCGAAAGACGGGAUAAUCCCGCAUACGCUCUACGGAGGAAAGCUCAUUCGAGCGCUCCGGGAGGGGCCUGCGGCCCAUCAGGUAGUUGGUGUGGUAACGGCGCACCAAGCCACUGACGGGUACCCGGUCUGAGAGGACGGCCGGGCAGACUGGGACUGCGACACGGCCCAGACUCCUACGGGAGGCAGCAGCAAGGAAUUUUCCCCAAUGGGCGCAAGCCUGAGGGAGCAACGCCGCGUGGAGGACGACGGCCUUCGGGUUGUAAACUCCUUUCGGGUGGGACGACUCCGACGGUACCACCAGAAGCAGCCCCGGCUAACUCUGUGCCAGCAGCCGCGGUAAGACAGAGGGGGCAAGCGUUGUCCGGAGUUACUGGGCGUAAAGGGCGCGGAGGCGGCCUGCGGCGUCGGCGCUGAAAGCGCCCCGCUUAACGGGGCGAGGCGUGCCGAUACGCGCAGGCUCGAGGCGAGCAGAGGGUGGUGGAAUUCCGGGUGGAGCGGUGAAAUGCGUAGAGAUCCGGAGGAACGCCAGUGGGGAAGCCGACCACCUGGGCUCGGCCUGACGCUGCGGCGCGACAGCGUGGGGAGCAAACCGGAUUAGAUACCCGGGUAGUCCACGCCGUAAACGAUGCCAGCUCGGCGUGUGGCGCACGGUUGUGCGCUGCGUGCCUUAGCUCACGCGAUAAGCUGGCCGCCUGGGGACUACGAGCGCAAGCUUAAAACUCAAAGGAAUUGACGGGGCCCGCACAAGCAGCGGAGCGUGUGGUUUAAUUCGACGCAACACGAGACCUUACCUGGG
rnacentral:rRNA from 1 species